CCUGGGGAGCGAACCGGAUUAGAUACCCCGGGUAGUCCAGGCUGUAAACGAUGCGGGCUAGUGUCGCGAUAGCCAUGAGCUAUCGCGGUGCCGGAGGGAAGCCGUUAAGCCCGCCGCCUGGGAAGUACGGCCGCAAGGCUGAAACUUAAAGGAAUUGGCGGGGGNGCACUACAACGGGUGGAGCCUGCGGUUUAAUUGGAUUCAACGCCGGGAAGCUUACCGGGGGAGACAGCGGGAUGAAGGUCGGGCUGAAGACCCUACCAGACUAGCUGAGAGGUGGUGCAUGGCCGCCGUCAGUUCGUACCGUGAAGCAUCCUGUUAAGUCAGGCAACGAGCGAGACCCGCGCCCUCAGUUGCCAGCGGAUCGCUUUUGCGAUGCCGGGCACACUGGGGGGACUGCCGGCGCUAAGCCGGAGGAAGGUGCGGGCAACGGCAGGUCCGUAUGCCCCGAAUCCCCCGGGCUACACGCGGGCUACAAUGGCCGGGACAAUGGGUACCGACCCCGAAAGGGAUAGGUAAUCUCCUAAACCCGNUCUAACCUGGGAUCGAGGGCUGCAACUCGCCCUCGUGAACCUGGAAUCCGNAUGUAAUU
rnacentral:rRNA from 1 species